GACGAACGCUGGCGGCGUGCCUAAUACAUGCAAGUCGAACGAAGCUGUUUUAACUGGUGCGUGCACCGACUUAAACAACGGAGUGGCGGACGGGUGAGUAACGCGUGGGGAACCUGCAUUAUAAAGGGGGAUAACACAUAGAAAUAGGUGCUAAUACCGCAUAAGCGGACAGUAGCGCAUGAUACAGUGUGAAAAACUCCGGUGGGAUAAGAUGGAACAGCGUCUGAUUAGUUAGUUGGUGAGGUAACGGCUCACCAAGGCGACGAUAAGUAGCCGGCCUGAGAGGGUGACCGGCCACAUUGGGACUGAGACACGGCCCAAACUCCUACGGGAGGCAGCAGUGGGGAAUAUUGCACAAUGGGGGAAACCCUGAUGCAGCGACGCCGCGUGAGUGAAGAAGUAUUUCGGUAUGUAAAGCUCUAUCAGCAAGGAAGAAAAUGACGGUACUUGACUAAGAAGCCCCGGCUAACUACGUGCCAGCAGCCGCCGUAACAC
rnacentral:rRNA from 1 species